ACCUCGCUUAGUAUCUUGAUGAGGCAGGGUUCGGUCCUCUUUUUGGCCGCCAAAAAUUCAUCUGUGAAAUCUCAGCUUCUACGGUGUUAGUCGCUCCAAGACGGCACUAAAGAGGAUCCACAUCUUCUUUCCAUUCGUUGUGAUAUAGCCUUUGUGCGUUGUUAUGGAUUUUUUCGAAGUUUGGAUGUAGUGAGCUGGCAGUUACAGAUUCAGCAUGCCACUUUGUCGAUGACUAAUUAAGGCUAUGGUGGUUCAUGUCCCAUUUGCUUUUGGACUGCGUUGGUUGGGGUCGGCAUUUGAGGUUCUUCGUCAGAUUUGUCUACAUCAUGUCUCAGUCUGCAUUCUGAUCAUGGUUUUAUUGUGGGAUUUUUGCCUUUUCUUUUAUUAUCUUUGUGGAGUUGUUCAUGUUUGCUUCUUUUAACGGUGUCUCUGAGAUGAUGCUAGUCUUUGUUUGAUGUUAUAUCAGGGGUUUGCUCUUAUCUAUUUCAUCGUCUAGGACUGUUUGUUGAUUGGGCUGGUGUCGUCCCGGUUCUGCUUUACCUUCUUCUCAGGUGACAACUUAUAUUGCCAGAAGCGUGACUAAGGAUCAACGUUCCAGUCUUUCAUUGUGUGCAAUGGACCUGGUUAAAUCACCUCAUUGUGUGUGCUUCAGUAAAGACUUGAGUUUGACAUAUUCUCUCCUAAAACCCACUGAAUGCCACAAUAGCUAACCAUAGACGGAUCCUCACUCUCUCUUAAUGAAGUCUUGUCUUUUAGUAGAAUUUUUCUGUUAAACGAUGCCUACUGGUAUCUUGAUCUUUCUACAACUUUUGUUUCUUUGCAUUUGUUAUUCUUGACCUUUGGUUAUGUACGAACCUUACAGAUUUUAUUUAAUACUAGAGCUUUUUCCCGGGCUACGCCCGGGUUUUUGCCUAUGAUAAUGUUCCAUGGAUGUUCUAGGUAAACAAUUA